UGCAAGUCGAGCGGACAGAUGGGAGCUUGCUCCCUGAUGUUAGCGGCGGACGGGUGAGUAACACGUGGGUAACCUGCCUGUAAGACUGGGAUAACUCCGGGAAACCGGGGCUAAUACCGGAUGGUUGUUUGAACCGCAUGGUUCAAACAUAAAAGGUGGCUUYGGCUACCACUUACAGAUGGACCCGCGGCGCAUUAGCUAGUUGGUGAGGUAACGGCUCACCAAGGCAACGAUGCGUAGCUCGACCGUAGAGAGGGUGAUCGGCCACACUGGGACUGAGACACGGCCCAGACUCCUACGGGAGGCAGCAGUAGGGAAUCUUCCGCAAUGGGCGAAAGUCUGACGGAGCAACGCCGCGUGAGUGAUGAAGGUUUUCGGAUUCGUAAAGCUUCUGUUUUAGGGAAGAACAAGUACCGUUCGAAUAGGGGGGUACCUUGACGGUACCUAACCAGAAAGCCACGGCUAACUACGUGCCAGCAGCCGCGGUAAUACGUAGGUGGCAAGCGUGUCCGGAAUUAUUGGGCGUAAAGGGCUCGCAGGCGGUUUCUUAAGUCUGAUGUGAAAGCCCCCGGCUCAACCGGGGAGGGUCAUUGGAAACUGGGGAACUUGAGUGCAGAAGAGGAGAGUGGAAUUCCACGUGUAGCGGUGAAAUGCGUAGAGAUGUGGAGGAACACCAGUGGCGAAGGCGACUCUCUGGUCUGUAACUGACGCUGAGGAGCGAAAGCGUGGGGAGCGAACAGGAUUAGAUACCCUGGUAGUCCACGCCGUAAACGAUGAGUGCUAAGUGUUAGGGGGUUUCCGCCCCUUAGUGCUGCAGCUAACGCAUUAAGCACUCCGCCUGGGGAGUACGGUCGCAAGACUGAAACUCAAAGGAAUUGACGGGGGCCCGCACAAGCGGUGGAGCCAUGUGGUUUAAUUCGAAGCAACGCGAAGAACCUUACCAGGUCUUGACAUCCUCUGACAAUCCUAGAGAUAGGACGUCCCCUUCGGGGGCAGAGUGACAGGUGGUGCAUGGUUGUCGUCAGCUCGUGUCGUGAGAUGUUGGGUUAAGUCCCGCAACGAGCGCAACCCUUGAUCUUAGUUGCCAGCAUUCAGUUGGGCACUCUAAGGUGACUGCCGGUGACAAACCGGAGGAAGGUGGGGAUGACGUCAAAUCAUCAUGCCCCUUAUGACCUGGGCUACACACGUGCUACAAUGGACAGAACAAAGGGCAGCGAAACCGCGAGGUUAAGCCAAUCC
rnacentral:rRNA from 1 species